rnacentral:tRNA from 1 species
UGAAGUGUAGCUCAGUGGUAGAGCACAUGCCUUGCAUACACAAGGCCCUGGGUUCAAUCCUCCACACAUUAA